AGAGUUUGAUCCUGGCUCAGAUUGAACGCUGGCGGCGUGCCUAACACAUGCAAGUCGAGCGGUAACAGGUGUAGCAAUACAUGCUGACGAGCGGCGGACGGGUGAGUAAUGCUUGGGAAUCUGCCUAUUAGUGGGGGACAACUCGGGGAAACUCGGGCUAAUACCGCAUACGCACUAUGGUGGAAAGCCGGGGACCGCAAGGCCUGGCGCUAAUAGAUGAGCCCAAGUCGGAUUAGCUAGUUGGUAGGGUAAUGGCCUACCAAGGCUUCGAUCCGUAACUGGUCUGAGAGGACGACCAGUCACACCGGAACUGAGACACGGUCCGGACUCCUACGGGAGGCAGCAGUGGGGAAUAUUGGACAAUGGGGGAAACCCUGAUCCAGCGACGCCGCGUGGGUGAAGAAGGCCUGCGGGUUGUAAAGCCCUUUCAGUGAGGAAGAAAAGUCUCGUCCUAAUACGACGGGAUCUUGACGUAACUCAUAGAAGAAGCACCGGCUAACUCUGUGCCAGCAGCCGCGGUAAUACAGAGGGUGCGAGCGUUAAUCGGAAUUACUGGGCGUAAAGCGCGCGUAGGCGGCUUUGCAAGUCGGGUGUGAAAUCCCCAAGCUCAACUUGGGAACUGCAUUCGAGACUGCAUUGCUAGAGUAUGGGAGAGGGAAGUGGAAUUUCAGGUGUAGCGGUGAAAUGCGUAGAUAUCUGAAGGAACAUCAGUGGCGAAAGCGACUUCCUGGACCAAUACUGACGCUCAUGUGCGAAAGCGUGGGGAGCAAACAGGAUUAGAUACCCUAGUAGUCC
rnacentral:rRNA from 1 species